UACCGUCCUAGUCUCAACCAUAAACGGCGCCGACCAGGGAUCGGCGGAUGUUGCUUUUAUGACUGCACCGGCACCUUAUGAGAAAUCAAAGUUUUUGGGUUCCAGGGGGGAGUAUGGUCUCAAGGUUGAAAUUAAAGGAAUUGACGGAAGGGCACCACCAGGAGUGGAGCAUGCGGCUUAAUUUGACUCAACACGGGGAAACUUACCAGGUCCAGACAUAGUAAGGAUUGACAGACUGAGAGCUCUUUCUUGAUUCUAUGAGUGGAGCCUGCGGCUUAAUUUGACUCAACACGGGGAAACUUACCAGGUCCAGACAUAGUAAGGAUUGACAGACUGAGCGCUCUUUCUUGAUUCUAUGGGUGGUGGUGCAUG
rnacentral:lncRNA from 1 species